AUUGAACGCUGGCGGCAUGCUUUACACAUGCAAGUCGAACGGCAGCACGGGGGCAACCCUGGUGGCGAGUGGCGAACGGGUGAGUAAUGCAUCGGAACAUGCCCAGUCGUGGGGGAUAACGUAGCGAAAGUUACGCUAAUACCGCAUACGUCCUGAGGGAGAAAGCGGGGGAUCGUAAGACCUCGCGCGAUUGGAGUGGCCGAUGUCAGAUUAGCUAGUUGGUGGGGUAAAGGCCCACCAAGGCGACGAUCUGUAGCGGGUCUGAGAGGAUGAUCCGCCACACUGGGACUGAGACACGGCCCAGACUCCUACGGGAGGCAGCAGUGGGGAAUUUUGGACAAUGGGGGCAACCCUGAUCCAGCCAUGCCGCGUGCGGGAAGAAGGCCUUCGGGUUGUAAACCGCUUUCAGCCGGAAAGAAAUCGCUAUUCCUAAUACGAGUGGUGGAUGACGGUACCGGAAGAAGAAGCACCGGCUAACUACGUGCCAGCCGCCGCCGUAAUAC
rnacentral:rRNA from 1 species